GAUUGAUGAAGACCUUUGAGGACAUUC
rnacentral:sRNA from 1 species